rnacentral:rRNA from 1 species
UAUCAAUAAGCGGAGGAAAAGAAACUAACAAGGAUUCCCCUAGUAACUGCGAGUGAAGAGGGAAAAGCUCAAAUUUAAAAUCUGACAGUCUCUGGCUGUCCGAGUUGUAAUUUAGAGAAGUGUUACCCGUCGCUAGUCUGUGUACAAGUCUCCUGGAAUGGAGCGUCAUAGAGGGUGAGAAUCCCGUCUUUGACACAGAAUCUAAUGCAUUGUGGUAUGCUCUCAAAGAGUCGAGUUGUUUGGGAAUGCAGCUCUAAAUGGGUGGUAAAUUCCAUCUAAAGCUAAAUAUUGGGGAGAGACCGAUAGCGAACAAGUACCGUGAGGGAAAGAUGAAAAGAACUUUGGAAAGAGAGUUAAACAGUACGUGAAAUUGCUGAAAGGGAAACGCUUGAAGUCAGUCGCGUUAUCUGGGGAUCAGCCUUCCUUUUGGUUGGUGUACUUCCCAGUUGACGGGUCAGCAUCAGUUUUGAUCAGUGGAUAAUAGCUUGAGGAAUGUGGCAUCUUCGGGUGUGUUAUAGCCUCUUGUUGUAUACAUUGGUUGGGACUGAGGAACUCAGUACGCCGCAAGGCCGGGGUCUUUGACCACGUUCGUACUUAGGAUGCUGGCAUAAUGGCUUUAAUC